UACGAAGGGGGCUAGCGUUGCUCGGAUUGACUGGGCGUAAAGGGCGCGUAGGCGGUUUGUACAGUCAGACGUGAAAUUCCUGGGCUCAACCUGGGGGCUGCGUUUGAUACGUGCAGACUUGAGUUCGGAAGAGGGUCGUGGAAUUCCCAGUGUAGAGGUGAAAUUCGUAGAUAUUGGGAAGAACACCGGUGGCGAAGGCGGUUCUCUGGGACGGUACUGACGCUGAGACGCGAAAGCGUGGGGAGCGAACAGG
rnacentral:rRNA from 1 species